UACGUAGGGUGCAAGCGUUAAUCGGAAUUACUGGGCGUAAAGCGUGCGCAGGCGGUUGUGCAAGACCGAUGUGAAAUCCCCGGGCUCAACCUGGGAAUGGCGAUGAAGACUGCAAGGCUAGAAUCUGGCAGAGGGGGGUAGAAUUCCACGUGUAGCAGUGAAAUGCGUAGAGAUGUGGAGGAACACCGAUGGCGAAGGCAGCCCCCUGGGUCAAGAUUGACGCUCAUGCACGAAAGCGUGGGGAGCAAACAGG
rnacentral:rRNA from 1 species